ACUUACCAGGUCAAGACAUGGGCGUGAUUGACAGGCUAAUGACUUUUCUCGAUUCCAUGGAUGGUGGUGCAUGGUCGCACUUAGUUGGUGCAGUGAUUUGUCAGGUUUAUUCCGGUAACGAACGAGACCUCGGCCUUGUAAAUAGCUAUGCUGCUUACAGGGACAUUGGCGGCUACGCCAAGGAAGCUCGAGGCAAUUGCAGAUCUGGAAUGCCCUUAGAUGUCCUGGGUCGCACGCGUGCUACAAUGACGCCACGAACGAGCUUGCGUGAUGAAAGUUACGCAUAAUCAGCAGUCGGCGUCUUAAGGGAUAGUCUCUUGUAACUGUGGGACUCCAACUAGGAAUGUCUCGUAAGCACAAGUCAACAUCUUGUGUUGAUUACGUCCCUGCUCUUUGUACACACCGCCCGUCGCUCCUACCGAUCGAGUGUUUAGGUGAAUUUGAUGGACGUAAGGAAGUCAAAUAAACCUGAGCACUAGAGGAAGGAGAAGUCGAUCAUC
rnacentral:rRNA from 1 species